UACAGAGGUGGCAAGCGUUGUUCGGAAUUACUGGGCGUAAAGGGCGCGUAGGCGGUCUUAUAAGUCUCGUGUGAAAUCCCUCGGCUUAACUGAGGAACUGCACGGGAUACUGCAAGACUUGAGUUCGGGAGAGGGAAGCGGAAUUCCGGGUGUAGCGGUGAAAUGCGUAGAUAUCCGGAGGAACACCGGUGGCGAAGGCGGCUCCUGGACCGGAACUGACGCUGAGGCGCGAAAGCGUGGGGAGCAAACAGG
rnacentral:rRNA from 1 species